GGAAGCCGCGCGGCGCCAGGACACGCACCCCCACCCCCCUAGCCAGACCUGCUCUGGCAUCUCCUGAGCUCUCUCUGGCCCUAGAUGAGGCCAGUGGGCAGCUUUGAAUUAAUAGAGCUACCAAGGUGGGCUCCAUGGUACCUGGUCUCUGGAUACCAGUCAUUGGACUUAGGGCCCACUCUAAAUCCAGGAUGAUCUCAUCUCAAGAUUCUUAAUUUCAUUACAUCAGCAAAGACUAUUUCCAGUUACAGAGCCACAGAAAUGUGUGUUGGAGUCUAUUUUUAGUUAAACGUGAAGUGGAGGCGCAAGGGAUUUCCUGCUCGAAUUAUAUAGAGGUCAACUCCGUGGAUGUGAUGCUUCUAGCAAACAGGUGUAGGGCAAGAAGCAAGGCAAUAAAAAUAAA